rnacentral:rRNA from 1 species
AUGACCACCUGCUUCUCUGAUAUUAUUAGAGAUCAUUCCCUAGACUUCAUUGGCCUCCAAUAAACUAAGAAAGCUAACUUUACCCCCAAAUAUUUGAGAAAGAUUGAUCCCUUUGAGAGAUUUAACUGGAACUGGGUACCCUCUGUUGGCAAAUCAGGUGGUAUCCUAUGUGGCAUCAAAAAAGAAACCUUAGAUGUUGUUUCCUGGACAAGGGGAAAAUACCUCCUUCAAGCUAAUAUUUUUUAUGUUAAAAACAAACGCACGUGGGACAUCAUAGUUGUAUAUGGGGCUCCACAAGAGAAUAAUAAAGAAGAAUUCCUUGAAGAAUUAAGUGGGUUUUGCUCACAGGUUAGAUUGCCUUACAUUGGGGGUGAUUUCAACAUUCUCAGAGAAAGUGGUGAGAAAAACAAGCACCUAAUUCUCUCUCGCUAUGUGGAUAAGUUCAAUGAUGUUAUCCAUUCUUUAAAUCUGCGAGAAAUAGAUAUGGGGGGAGGUAAAUAUACUUGGACGAACAGUCAAAAGCAUCCUACGUUAGAGAAGCUGGAUAGAAUCUUGAUGAGCUAUGAUUGGGAGGAUAUUUUUCCCCUUGUUUCAGUUCGCAAAUUGGUUAGGGAUGUGUCUGAUCACAACACGCUGCUUCUAUCCACA